rnacentral:rRNA from 1 species
GAUGAACGCUGGCGGCGUGCCUAAUACAUGCAAGUCGAGCGAACGGACGAGAAGCUUGCUUCUCUGAUGUUAGCGGCGGACGGGUGAGUAACACGUGGAUAACCUACCUAUAAGACUGGGAUAACUUCGGGAAACCGGAGCUAAUACCGGAUAAUAUUUUGAACCGCAUGGUUCAAAAGUGAAAGACGGUCUUGCUGUCACUUAUAGAUGGAUCCGCGCUGCAUUAGCUAGUUGGUAAGGUAACGGCUUACCAAGGCAACGAUGCAUAGCCGACCUGAGAGGGUGAUCGGCAAGAGUGGACAAGAGAGAGAGUGGAGAAGAAGAGGGGAGGAAGCAGGAGGGAUGAUGCAGCAAGGGGAGAAAGACUGAAGGAUCAAUGAGACGUGAGGAAUGAAGGUAUAAGGAUCGUAAAACUCUGUGAGUAGGGAAAAACAAACGUGUAAGUAAAUGUGCACGCCGGGACGGUAACUAAUAAGAAAGAGACGGCUAACUACGUG